rnacentral:lncRNA from 1 species
CAUAGAGUAGAGUUUCAGUGGGAGAUGACUUUUGGGAAAGUUCCCACAGAAAUACCAUGGUAGCAUUUCUGUCCUUGCUCAGCCUCAUUUCAUUUAUUCUGAGGCUACUUUACAUGUCCCUGGCACCACAAAAAUGCCAUUAAUCAGGCAUGAGAAGACCUUGAGAUCCCAUCAGUGCUCUCUGGCAUCACCAGAAGGGUGCCAAAGGGCUGCCUGUGUCAAGGUGGACCUGGCCCACCGUGUUUAUUGACACAGUAGCUCGUGCUGAGUCACAGUGCCUGUCCCACAGCCAGGAAAAGGAAGGGCUUGUUCUCAUUAGGGGACACCAGUGCUGGGGGUUACAGAGUCCUGAGGUGCAGAAUGGUGCCGAGGGAGGCUCACAGAAACCUUUUUGGAAUGUCAAAGCAGGAAGGAGUUACUGUGGUGAGUGAUACGGUUGGAAGAAUAGAGAAUACAUAUUCUCAAUAAUACAGCACAACAGCCUAUCCUUAAGGUUUAAUCUCCCAAGUAGAAAUAUCUCUCCUCUCCCAUGAGAACAGAAGCAGAAGUCCCCAGGGGCUGGGAUGGCUACAGCAGCAGGAAGUCUGCACAGGGAGAGGUAAGAGCACAGAUGCAAGGGCAGCCUGCUGGGCUCCCCACCCUUCAGAAUCUGCAAGUGGCAGCACCGUGCUGAGCUUCCAGAAAGUGGGAAUGACACAAGAGAUUGCCAUGUAACACCUGGUUCCAUGGGUAAUUGGAAUGGUGAUGAGCCUGACUGACUGUUCUUCAACUAAUUGCUGCAGUUUUCUGAGGUUGGCCAUUUUAACCCAUGGUCUGAAAAUUUUAUGGGUUUUUGGAGAAAAAUAAGUUCCUUGUGACCAUAUCUCUGCUCAAACGUGAUUAAUCUAUUGAACAAAUGUGUGUGGAAAUAUAGAAGGUAUUCAGAGCAAUAUAAUUUUUCAACCUGGAGAAGAAAUUCCUGCAGAUUUCAACUCCAAGUACUACUGUGCCUUGUCUGGGUGGAUGGAAUAAAGAAAUAAGGAGGCUCUGAAAUGCUAAACUU